GCUAAUAGGCCCGACCUUUUUUCUUUUCAGCUUGGGUAGCGGUGUUAGGUUUUGGGUCGUGGCCCGGUUCGCUGGCGUCACGGCUCGGCCUGAUAACGUCCCAGGCUGCGGGUCGGGAGUUCUUCUUAUAGGGACUGGCGAUUGUUAGUCGCACGAGAUAGAGCAAUAACAGGUCUGUGAUGCCCUUAGAUGUUCUGGGCCGCACACGCGCUACACUGAAACGAUCAGCUAGUUUCUCCCUCUCCGAGAGGAGCGGGAAAACUGUUGAACCCUUUUCGUGGUAGGGAUUGGAGCUUGCAAUUGUUCUCCAUGAACCACGAAUUCCCAGUAGGCGCGAGUCAUAAGCUCGCGUCGAUUACGUCCCUGCCCUUUGUACACACCGCCCGUCGCUACUACCGAUUGAGUGUUUUAGUGAGGUCCUCGGAUUGCUGCCUCGGCAGGACUCGUUUCUGUCUUUGCGGCGAGAAGACGACCAAACUGUAGCACUUAUAGGAAGUAAAAGUCGUAACAAGGUAU
rnacentral:rRNA from 1 species